rnacentral:lncRNA from 10 species
GCAAAGGAUGACCAUGAUCUCAGGAAAAUUGGUUGCAAUAAUUCCUCUGCUUGUUUCCAGGCUCUUGGGUAACCCCCUCCCACACCAACUCUGAGUUUGUUUAUGGCUUGUUUUGGACAAUAAGACAUUAGCAAAUGAGAUAUAAGUACAGGCUUGAGAAGUACAUGGGCACUGGGGCUUGCUUGCUGGCUGCUCUGUGGAACCUGAGACUACCACGUGAAGAAGAAGUUCGAAGUGCUAGAGGUUGAGAGAACAUGUGCAGCAAAGAUGAAGCAUCCCAGCUGAGAUUCCCCUAGAUCAAUCAGCUUGCCAACUGCCGCAAAAGCGAAUAAAGCCUUCCAAGAGCAUCCAGCUAUAAGGUGAGCCAGUCCAGACCGGAAGAAUCACCUGAUCAACUGAAAGAUAUAUGUGAAAUAAUAAAUGUUAGAGGUUUUAAAUUUUAAGAGGUACAGAGGCAUAUGGUUGAUGGUUCUGUUGUAUAAUCAUUAUUUAGUCUGGAAAGAAUCACUUGGAGUCGUCU